rnacentral:rRNA from 1 species
CCUACGGGGGGCAGCAGUGGGGGAUAUUGCACAAUGGGGGAAACCCUGAUGCAGCGACGCCGCGUGUGGGAAGACGGUCCUCUGGAUUGUAAACCACUGUCCCCAGGGACGAAGAUAACGGUACCUGGGGAGGAAGCUCCGGCUAACUACGUGCCAGCAGCCGCGGUAAUACGUAGGGAGAGAGCGUUGUCCGGAAUUACUGGGGGUAAAGGGAGCGUAGGCGGGGAUUCAAGUUGGGUGUAAAAACUCACGGCUCAAAUGGUAGUUGCACAAAAAACUACAGCUCUUGAGUGAAGUAGAGGCAGGCGGAAUUCCUAGUGUAGCGGUGAAAUGCGUAGAUAUUAGGAGGAACACCAGUGGCGAAGGCGGCCUGCUGGGCUUUUACUGACGCUGAGGCUCGAAAGUGUGGGGAGCAAACAGGAUUAGAUACCCUGGUAGUC